GCCAGGUGUGGUGGCGGAUGCCUGUAGUCCUAGCUAUCCGGGAGGCUGAGACUGGAGGAUCUCUUGAGUCCAGGAGUUCUGGGCUGUAGUGCACUAUGCCGACUGGGUGUCCACACUAAGUUUGGCAUCAAUAUGGUGACCUCCUGGAAGCAAGGGACCAGCAGGUUGCCUAAGGAGGGGUGAAUCGGCCCAGAUCGGAAACGGAGGUCAAAACUCCAGUGCUGAUCAGUAGUGGGAUGGUGCCUGUGAAUAGCCACUGCACUCCAGCCUGGGCAACACAGCGAGACCCCAUCUCU
rnacentral:SRP_RNA from 1 species